rnacentral:lncRNA from 1 species
CUCCCAUCUACCCGCGUGCGCUCAGGCUUCCUUUCUGCAAGCCAACCCUGCCUAGACCCCCUGUCCAGGUGCACCGGCUCCCAGAAAACAAGCCUCCAAGACUCUGAAGCCAAUCUACCUCCUGGUAACAACUUACACCUUGAUAUUCAGAGAUACCAGAUGGAGAAAGAGCCCUGGACACUCUGUGGUUUCAUGCAGCAACUUGUCACCCUCAUGGAAACAUACCAUCUUCUCUCUGAUGGGUCCAGCAAAACCUGGUAUGUUCCUUAUUGACUAGCCCAGCUUGGG